GCCGCUUCUCUGCCUUUUGGCUAAGAUCGAGUGUAGUAUCUGUUCUUAUCAGUUUAAUAUCUGAUACGUCCCCUAUCUGGGGACCAUAUGAUUUUUGGAACAGGGAGAUGGAAUAGGGGCCUGCUCCAUCCACUACCUGCAUCAACCUGGUAUUGCAGUACUUCCAGGCGGAGUGGUGGCUCU